GAUGAACGCUGGCGGCGUGCCUAAUACAUGCAAGUCGAGCGAACGGACGAGGAGCUUGCUUCGCUGAUGUUAGCGGCGGACGGGUGAGUAACACGUGGAUAACCUACCUAUAAGACUGGGAUAACUUCGGGAAACCGGAGCUAAUACCGGAUAAUAUUUUGAACCGCAUGGUUCAAAGGUGAAAGUCGGUGUUGCUGUCUCUUAUAGAUGGAUCCGCGCUGCAUUAGCUAGUUGGUAAGGUAACGGCUUACCAAGGCAACGAUGCAUAGCCGACCCGAGAGGGUGAUCGGCCACACUGGAACUGAGACACGGUCCAGACUCCUACGGGAGGCAGCAGUAGGGAAUCUUACGCAAUGGGCGAAAGUCUGACGGAGCAACGCCGCGUGAGUGAUGAAGGUCUUCGGAUCGUAAAACUCUGUUAUUAGGGAAGAACAUAUGUGUAAGUAACUGUGCACAUCUUGACGGUAACUAAUCAGAAAGCCACGGCUAACUACGUG
rnacentral:rRNA from 1 species